UACGUAGGGUGCAAGCGUUAAUCGGAAUUACUGGGCGUAAAGCGUGCGCAGGCGGUUUUGUAAGUCUGACGUGAAAUCCCCGGGCUCAACCUGGGAAUUGCGUUGGAGACUGCAAGGCUAGAAUCUGGCAGAGGGGGGUAGAAUUCCACCUGUAGCAGUGAAAUGCGUAGAGAUGUGGAGGAACACCGAUGGCGAAGGCAGCCCCCUGGGUCAAGAUUGACGCUCAUGCACGAAAGCAUGGGGAGCAAACAGG
rnacentral:rRNA from 1 species